GACGAACGCUGGCGGCGUGCCUAAUACAUGCAAGUCGAACGCAGUGGGGACGGGUGAGUAACACGUGGGUAACCUCCCAUCAGAGGGGAUAACACUUGGAAACAGGUGCUAAACCGAUACUGAUGGAUGGACCCGCGGUGCAUUAGCUAGUUGGUGAGGUAACGGCUCACCAAGGCCACGAUGCAUCGCGGCCCUGAGAGGGUGAACGGCCACACUGGGACGGAGACACGGCACAGACUCCUACGGGAGGCAGCAGUAGGGAAUCUUCCACAAUGGACGAAAGCCUGACCGAGCAACGACGCGUGAGUGAAGAAGGUUUUCGGAUCGUAAAACACUGUUGUUAGAGAAGCGGUAUCUAACCAGAAAGCCACGGGUAACUACGUGCCAGCAGCCGCGGUAAUAC
rnacentral:rRNA from 1 species